UGUCUGGGCAAAUGUGAAUGGAGCUGUUAGUGGGGGGGAAGGGCAAUAUUUUGUUUGAAGAAACAGUUAGCUUCUACGAUUACAAAGACCGUUGCAGAUUUAACGUUCGGCUGAAGAGGAUAAUUUUACAUAGAGAUGAUUUCACGAUUUUAUUUUUAUCAGUAAUCCUUGUGCAUUGGUUCGUGCGCGUGCCUGCAUUAAGAUGUGGGUCGUAAACAAACCUGACAGGAAGAGCGGUGUAUGACCAAGCAUGUGCGCCUGUCUGGACGCUCUAUGACCCGGAUGUGAUUCCACCGAGCAAUGGCGGCUGAGCGGAUGCGGGUUGCGUCCCACAUGUAAACAACAAACUAAGGGCAGUCCUUUGUCUGAGGAAAGCAAAACCAGCGGCGAUCAGGAGCAUGAGAUUAUCCCACGAGAGUCGCCUCAUCUGAGAAAUAGAAAAAAAUGUCGAUGGAAGAUCCGUUUUUUGUGGUGAAAGGGGAGGUGCAAAAGGCGGUGAACAACGCUCAAGGGCUUCAUCAAAGAUGGAUGGAGUUAUUACAGGACGCGGGUGGGGCCAGCAAGGAGGAAGUGGACUGGACCACCAAUGAGCUACGCAACAGCCUGAGGUCCAUUGAAUGGGACCUGGAGGACCUGGAUGAGACUAUUAAUAUCCUUUCAGUUCUGAUGUGUGAAAACCAAUAUUUAGAUUUUGUAUAUGUUGUAUUUGAUAUUCGUAUAGCCUUAACUUGGGAUGCAAGUAUUGUGGAGUCCAAUCCAAAGAAAUUCAAUCUGGAUGCGAUGGAGCUGGCGAAGAGAAAAGCUUUCAUCACAAGCACAAGACAAACAGUCAAGAAUCUGAAAGACCACAUGACAAGUCCAACAGGCAUUUCAGUAUCAGAGAGAAAGAAUCGACAGACUUUGAUGGGGGACAGCGGGUCUCGUGGUCCAAUCUGGCAACCCAGCGGUGAUAAGUACACCAGACUUGACAAUGAGUUGCAGUCUGCAAACUCCCAGUUCAUAGAAGACCAACAGACCCAGCAGCAGCUCAUAGCAGAACGACAGGAUGAACAGUUAGAGCUGGUUUCAGGGACCAUCGGCAUCUUAAAGAACAUGUCUGAAAGGGUCGGGCAAGAAUUGGAUGAGCAGGCUGUAAUGCUGGAUGACUUUUCACACGACAUGGACAACACACAGUCCAGGCUGGAUAGCGUCAUGAAGAAACUGGCAAAAGUUUCUCACAUGACCAGUGGUGAUUGACUGUGGUAAAAGAAUACAUAGUGCUGCUGUCCCUUAUAAGGCCAAGCAUGGUGAUAACAGGAAGUCAAACUUCCGCUAUGGUUGAGCAACCGAGAAAUCUAACCUUCUACUGCACCUCAUGGGAAUUUUUCAAAAAAAUCGAAGACAGUGGUGUGCUAUCGGAAUUCUCCUGGCUAUCCUGUUUGUUGUGAUAAUCCUCUUCCUUGUUCUGUGAACAAGCACUCUGAGCUUUAGGCGUACAGGUCUCUGCGUAUAUUCACAAAACCAAGGUGCUUGGAAGAGUGAAAGCAAACGAAAACAUUUCCCUCUCCUAUUCCAUACUAUAGUAAGAUGCUGUUUUAUACUUUCUUCUUAUAUAAAUAGACCCCAGACGAUAAGACUGACACAAGUGUGUAAAAUGUAGAUAUGCUUGUGAACAAACAAGCAGAUGAAUGGCAGAGAAUAUCGAAUUUGUAAUAACGUGGUAAUUCAGGGUAAAUCAUGCAUAUCAAAUGGACCAUGAUUUUUGGACUUAUACCUGUGUACUUUGGUCAUAACAGAAUCUAGGGCUGCUAGAAAGUAUGAUCGAUGUAAUUUUCUUUACUUUGCACUGCUGUAACGGUAGGUUUAGACCACUGUAAAUAAUCAACACUAAAUAUGAAGCUCUAACAAGUUAACACUGGAGUUUAACAAACUAGAUACUCUAUAAGCGGGUAUGGAAUUAAUGAUACUAAUAGUAAAUUAGCUAUUCACUUUUAAAAAAAGUUUUUUCGCCUGUGUGCUUUGUUUACUUUUUCCUUUUUUUUUAAAGUACGUGUGAAUUUAUUAGUGAGAUGUUCACUAUCGACGUUUUGACACUAUGAUAAUAAUUAGAUGACAUUAUGUUUCUGGAAAUAUUGAUGGUAUAAAUCGCUCAGAAUUGUAUUGGCUAGACAACUAAAAUAUCCCCAUUUUUACAAAACAUAAAUUUUAUGUUUUACAAUUUGGUCUUGAAAUUGUUGGGGUUACGCAAGAAUCACACCACUCUGUGGAUUGCGAGACAAUGUUUUCUUGUUUGUAUGAUUUACCUGUACAAAGUCCAAGAAACGAUGAGUUCAUUUUUUACGGUCAAGUCAAAUUUUUCCAUCGUUAUAGGUAAAGUAGAUGGGUCCUGUGAAGUAUAGGUCAGAAUUUAGCCAGUGCCUUAGCAGUGAGAAGGGUUGAUGCAUUUCAUUUAAGACAGCAGAUGUUCGUGACAAUGGCACUUGGUGAAAUUUCUCUUGUUUAGAGUUAGGGACAUUGUCUAGCUUCGGUCCAUUAAUACUUUCACUAACUGUCGAAAUGUAUUUCUAAUGCUAACGCAAAUGAAAUCUGGAAAGCAGCACUCGUUGAUUUGCAAAUAACUAUUAUUUUAUGAAAGAUCGACACUACACAUAUUAUGUUUAAACAUGAAGCACAGUUACCGUAUUGUAUUGUUUGAUGUAUUAUGUUUGGAAGACUUACGAAGAUCCACCAUAUUUCAAAAUCACACCUAAAAAUGAAAAAUAUAUGCAUUUAGCAUGAAAAAAGAUGAAGGCGCAUUAAGACUUCUGUAUUGUUUUACCAUUUUCAAGGCAAUUCAAUGCAUUUACGGUAAUGCAGUUAUGAAAGCAACCCUGUCUGGAAACAAUACUUUUCAACAAUAUUAGCAUCACUUCAAUUUAAAUAAUGUACAUUUUACAUUAGCAUUUUACGUUUAUUUGAAAAAUGGAAAUUAAAAUGAACUUAAUUGUCAUGAAAAUACACAAUGCAGAAAGUCACAAGAAUUCUUUAUUAAAAUUUUCAUUUCUUCUGGUUUGGGUGAAAUAUGACAUGUGCAUGGCUUGAUGGACUCAACCUCCCUGAAAAACAUAGGGACUUUACAGUAUUUUAACCAUCAAUCAUUUCUGUCGUCCAAUAAAACAGUAUUAUGGCUAAAACUAACUGCCCUUUGUCUUUUCCGAUUGGUUCGAAAUAUUACUGAAUUGAUUGCUCAGUAAAAAGGCAAUUUUACGAUUCAAAUAAUAAAACAUACCUCAAUAAGUUCACUGUUCUAGAUGAGCAACGGCUUGGUCAAGACAGCAGAUAAUUCCUUGUCAUGCGUGAAUUUCAAUUGUACGUGUUUGCUGUGUUUGUUUGAGCUACCUGUUGUUUUUCCUUGUCCUUCAGAAAAAAAAUCUGUAAAACCACCCCAUGUUUUCCCCACAUGUCAAUCACUGUGUGAUAUUCUGAGCCCCAUUAAAAACAAAUAACUGAA